rnacentral:rRNA from 1 species
UACGGAGGGUGCGAGCGUUGUUCGGAAUCAUUGGGCGUAAAGCGCGUGUAGGCGGCUUGGCAAGUCGGUUGUGAAAUCCCGGGGCCCAACCCCGUAACUGCAAUCGAAACUGCCUCGCUAGAGUCCCGGCGUGGAAGGCGGAAUUCCCGGGGUAGAGGUGAAAUUCGUAGAUAUCGGGAGGAACACCCGUGGCGAAGGCGGCCUUCUGGACGGUGACUGACGCUGCGACGCGACAGCGUGGGGAGCAAACAGG